GGUCAAUGAUGAGCAGUAAAAGGUCUGAUUACCCAGAAUCCUCUCCUGUGGUCCUCUGGUUCCCAGCAGCCCCGGCUCUGUUUUCCCAUCUUGCUCUAGUGGUGCAGUGGUGGUCCCAGGAGCUGCUGACAGACACAGGAAGUGACAUCACAGUGUGAGUCUGCACAGAGAGCCUGCAGGCUCAGUGUGAUGAUGACUCACUUCCAACAGAACCAAUCAGAACGGAGCGUGAGGCCGAAGGGAGAGGAGGGGGAUGAUCUCAAGUUUUCAACCUGAGACC
ensembl:scaRNA